UACGGGGGGGGCAAGCGUUGUUCGGAAUUACUGGGCGUAAAGGGUGCGCAGGCCGCGCGGGCAGUCAAAUGUGUAAUUCAGGGGCUCAACCCCUGCACUGCGCUUGAUACUUCCGCGCUCGAGCUUUGGAGAGGAGUCUGGAAUUCUCGGUGUAGCAGUGAAAUGCGUGGAUAUCGAGAAGAACACUUAGGGCGUAGGCAAGACUCUGGACAAAUGCUGACGCUCAUGCACGAAGGCUAGGGUAGCGAACGGG
rnacentral:rRNA from 1 species